rnacentral:lncRNA from 1 species
CUGACUCCUCAUCUCAUUCAGGAGUAUGAAAAAAUGAACAAUUUACUGUGGGUUUUGGGGCCUUAAGACUUUAAGGUGUAGAUCUUUUUGCUAAUGCUGUCUAUGUUACAAUGGGGACAAAGAGACCAGUGAUUAUAGAACAGAGGUGGGGAAGUCCCCCAAGUAACAAAAGGUUGCCAGUAAAACAGAUACAGAGGCUUGGAAUGGCACCACCACUGCUUCUGUUUUGACAUGUUCCAUUGCCAAGGAUGGCUUUGCCUAGAUCAGAGAAGGUGCUAUUCUGGAGGAAAUGCGAGAAUUGUGAUAUUGGCUAUUGACAACUGUCAGCUGUUGUUGCUAUAAUUGCUGAACUUAUAAAACAGUCUAAAUCUGUGACAACCACUGAAGAAAUUGCUCAGGUUGCAACAGUUUCUGCAAAUAUAGACAAAGACAUUACUUUUCUGAUGCAUUGAAAAAGGUUGGAUGAAAGGGUCUCACCACAGGGAAGUAUGGAAAACUCCUGAAUUGCGAAUUAUAAAUUAUUGAAGGAAGGGAAUUCGAUAGAGGAUAUAUUACCCCAUAUUUUAUUUAGAAAUCAAAAUGUAAGGCCUAUAUGCUCUAGAGUAAAAAGAAAGUUGCUAGCAUUCAAUCCGUUGUAUCUGCUUUUUAAAUUGCCAGUACUCACUGGAAACCCUUGGCCAUAAUCCCUGAAGCUAUUAAUGCAGAAGCUGAUAGACUGUACACUGGUUUGCAACAGGCUAAAAAUUGGUCUUCAGGUUGUAGCAGCUGAAGUUCCAGGGUUUGGGAAUAGUAAGAAGAAUCAACAUGAAGAUAUGACUAUAGAUGUUGCCAUAUUUGGUGAAGAGGGGUUGUAUCUAAAUCUUGAAAGUGUUCAAGUUCAUUAUUUAGCAAAGAUAGGAGAGGCCAUUGGUGUCACCAAAGACAAUUCCUUGGUUUUGAAAGGA